rnacentral:lncRNA from 1 species
AUCACCAUUCUCCUUCUUAUUUGUAUGCAGAUUUGGUUAUAAUGAUUGAUAACUGUAAUCAUCCUCAUUAUUUUAAUAAGAAAUUUUUCUAUCUGUGAUGGAAGUUUUUAUGUACGAUUGCCUGAUCUGAAGACAAGACUUUCGCUGCAUGCAUAUUUAAUGUAUGACGUCACCCACACAGAGUGAGAGCUCGAAGUUUUCUUUGAAAGUUUGAUGGAAAAUGUACAGAGACACUUGUUGCAGUUAAUGCAUGCAGUACCAAAUGCUUGCUUUCUUGGAGUAUGUGCUUGAAACAAGAAUGUCCUGGAGAAAACAGACCACCACAAGAGAAGACAUACAUGUACAGUAUGGACUAUGAAGUUCUACUUAGCCUCUUCAAUGAACUGCUGGAGCUGCGACUGGGUAUCAAAACCUUGGUAUUAUAAACUUCAUAACCAGUGGCGGAGAUAUGAUGUUAGCCAGGGGGGAGGGGUCAGUGCCCCCCCCCCCACUUUUUCAAGUACCCCCAGUAUGCCCCUUUUAUGGCCUUUUCACAUAGGUAAAGUGCCAUAUUACUUUGACAAGUUCCCCUAUAAAUUUGUAAAAUUGCCCCUUCCCCAUUUCACCUCUGAUAAGUGCCCCUUAUCCUUCGACAAGUUCCCAUUAUUCUAUGCAAU